rnacentral:rRNA from 1 species
UACGGAGGGUGCGAGCGUUAAUCGGAAUUACUGGGCGUAAAGCGCGCGUAGGCGGUUUGGUCAGUCGAUUGUGAAAGCCCUGGGCUUAACCUGGGAAUUGCAGUCGAUACUGCCUGACUAGAAUGUGGAAGAGGGAAGUGGAAUUUCCGGUGUAGCGGUGAAAUGCGUAGAUAUCGGAAGGAACACCAGUGGCGAAGGCGGCUUCCUGGUCCAACAUUUACGCUGAGGUGCGAAAGCGUGGGGAGCGAACAGG